rnacentral:rRNA from 1 species
UACAUGGGGUGCAAACGUUGCUCGGAAUUAUUGGGCGUAAAGCGCACGUAGGCGGUUUGUUAAGUCGGAUGUGAAAUCCCUCGGCUCAACUGAGGAAGUGCAUCCGAAACUGGCAAGCUUGAGUACGAAAGAGGGUCGCGGAAUUCCCGGUGUAGAGGUGAAAUUCGUAGAUAUUCGCAAGAACACCGGUGGCGAAGGCGGCCAACUGGACCAUUACUGACGCUGAGGCGCGAAAGCGUGGGGAGCAAACAGG